rnacentral:rRNA from 1 species
CGCGUAGGCGGUCCGACAAGUCAGGGGUGAAAUCCUGCAGCUUAACUGCAGAAGUGCCUUUGAUACUGUCGGUCUGGAGGGAGAUAGGGGUGUGCGGAACUUCCAGUGGAGCGGUGAAAUGCGUUGAUAUUGGAAGGAACGCCGGAGGCGAAAGCGGCGCACUGGAUCUCUUCUGACGCUGAGGCGCGAAAGCUAGGGAGCAAACG